rnacentral:misc_RNA from 1 species
UUUCCGUAGGUGAACCUGCGGAAGUAUCAUUAAUGAAACGCAAGAGUGCUCUUUUUAGAGGCUCGACCCAUUUCAUCUCACACUGUGCACAUACUACUUUUUACACCAUUUUAAACACUAUAAGUCAUAAGAAUGUCAAUAGUCUCUUUAAUGAGCAUAAACAAUUAAAACUUUCGGCAACGGAUCUCUUGGCUCCCGCAUCGAUGAAGAACGCAGC